rnacentral:rRNA from 1 species
AUACGGAGGGUCCAAGCGUUAUCCGGAAUCAUUGGGUUUAAAGGGUUCGCAGGCGGUCUAUUAAGUCAGUGGUGAAAUCUCUCGGCUCAACCGAGAAACUGCCAUUGAUACUGAUAGACUUGAAUAUAGUUGAAGUAGGCGGAAUGUGUAGUGUAGCGGUGAAAUGCUUAGAUAUUACACAGAACACCGAUAGCGAAGGCAGCUUACUAAACUGUUAUUGACGCUCAUGAACGAAAGCGUGGGGAGCGAACAGGAUUAGAUACCCCGGUAGUCC